rnacentral:lncRNA from 10 species
AGAAUUUUAAAAAUCUAUUCUAAUUCAACAAGUUUUUAAAAUCAACUUUGUAAUUUGAGGGGAAAAUUUGGGGGGAAGAGGUGGGUGGGCCACUAAGUUACCUCUCUUUCAUUUGGUGGCCCUUCCAGGCCAUUGAAAAUAAAGACGUUGGCUCCAGUUUGCACAUUGGGAAGAAAGCAUAGAAAUUUGACUUGUAUAUUAAAAAUAAUAGAAAUGUAAUAUGUAUAUUAAGAAUGCAUAGGUCUGUAUUCUGUAAGGGGCUCUGAAGAACAAUAUGGCACUGCUGUGUUCAGUGUGAAUUCACUGCCUGGGAGAACUGCAGGAAUGCUUGUCUUCACCAUUGUGUUCUUACAACGAAUUCAACUUUCCAUGGUUUAUCUUGACAAAAUUUACAUGUGUUUAGGUUACUUGUAUAUUGAUAUAUUUUUUUAAUCUUCAGUUUUUGUCUUCCUUUUGCCUUUGUGUUUUCAGAAGUAACACAUGAACACUUUUUAAAGUACAUUACAGAGAAGAAAACUGUGAGCUAUUAUAUAGUGUUUCUUUUUUAACACAAAUCUUUUAACUUUAAAAAAAGGCAAAAAUUUUUUUUUUCUACUUCCCACCCAGCUUACCACCUUGAUCUCUUUAACUUAUGUUCUAAACUUUGGUGUUAAUGGUGGUGUCUAGCAUGCUAGUAGUUAGAUUUUAUUUAGAUGCCAUAACUGGUAAUACAGCUUUUAUUUUGACUAUAUUAAUUUAGUUUUUUGAGGGGAAGUUUGUUUAUUCUGUGACUCUCAAAGCACACAGAGGUUUUAAAAUAUAUAUUAUUAAGACUGAGAGAAGAGGAAAUGGGAGGGAGUAACAUCACAGAAGUGCUGUUGUUCAACUGUUCUUCAAUAUAGUUGCUAGUAGGUUUGUAUUUACUCAGUAAGGAAGUCAGUGACCUGAACUACCUAUAAAAAUUCAGCAGUGCUGCAGUGUUGCUUAAGUGAAACCCUUUGGCUAUCUAGUAGUUUUUAUGCUACUGAAACUUGGAUUACUGUAUGAUAUUCAGCUUGUCUUGGGCCCUCUAUGUAGACAAACAUUCAUAUUCAUAGUAGUGUUGUAUACUGGCCUGUUUUUAUAACUUUAUUUUUCAAAUAUUAACAACCACUGCUUUCAGAGUGGUUAUUUUGUUAUUUUUGAAGCAGGAAAUAACCAUUUGUAUUUGCACCUGCGUAUUGCAUAUGAAUUAUGGUAUACUUGGCAAAUGCUUUUCUUUUACCUGUGAAAAUUCUGAAAGCUGGUCCAAGCUACAUUGCAUACCAAAUUGUGCUCUUAUAUAUUAUUUGCAUCGUGUCCUUUUUAAUCAAAUAGCAUGUUUUAGUUUUAUUAUAGUAGCUUUUGCUGUAAGAAUGUCACUUGCUUAUCUUUUAUUGUACUUGAAUUCUUAAUCAUGCUUUUAACAUUGUAUUUAACAAAUCAUUUCGUAUUAGGUUCCAUUAAAAUGUCAUUCCUUUGAAAAGGCAAGGGAUUUCCACUUUCAGAAUUUGAAAAUGAAAGUAGCAUGUUUAUCUAAAGGCAGAAAAUAGUUCGGACUUGGUAUUAUGAAAAUAAGUAAUGGUUUCUGGAGAGGAUUUGUUUAGAUUUGCACAGAUGGCGAUGGCACCUUUUACUUAAAUUAACAUUAAUCAACAGUGCUAAGGAAAAUUUACACAAAAUUACAAGAUAAAACAUGGAAAUGUGUGCCUUUCAGUAUACAAACUCUUGCUUGGUGGCCAUUUGGGUAAUCAGACCAUUUGAAUGCCUGAGAGCAUGUUUAAUUUCUGUGGAGUGCCACAUAUGGCUAAAACAACUCUUUAAUGUGCAAUUAAUUUCUAGAGUAAAAUGUCUGUUAUGUGAGGGGGAUCUUUAUGUUGGGCUUUUCUAUUUUUUAAAUGUUCACAUUUCUUUCUGUUAAUUAAAAUGCCAUCAUAAUGUCACAUUUACACUGUUGCCUCUUUUAAAAGCAAAGCCACUUUCUUGUUCUAAGAUUACAUCAAGACUUGAGCAGUGUGUAGUAAUUAAAAUGUGUGCUUAAUGAGCAUAAUAGAUUCUGGUUUUAGGAAAUAACAUAUAGCUUUUAUAUGAAUAUUUUCUUUUGCUAUAAUGAAAGUCACAGAUUUUUUUUUUCCUGGCUUUUAUGGAGGAAUGAAAAGAGUUGUCUCCCUCUAAGAGUAUACUAUUUUUGAUUCUCAUAGCAAUAAUGUCACCAUUCUUAUCAGAGGGUAAAUACCCCUUGUAUAGGAAAACAGACAUAAUUUCCUCUUGGGAGUUCUCUUUAUGACUUAGCAUUUUCUUCUACUUGAGAAAAUUCCUGUUUUUCCGAUUAUUUCAUCUUGAACUUUCUUUUUUUUAAGCUUUUGUGCAAUGUAAUAGUUUGUUGAUCCAUCUUUGUACAUUUUCAUUUUAUUUCAUGUCUUUCUCUCACCUACCUGUCAGAAUCAGCUAUAGCAGAUUUUGAAUUCUUUAGUUAAAAAAUAGUUGCUUUACUUGUUUCCUCAUGAGUUUGUUAAAUAGCUUUGCAUUUUAGUCCUCUAUUAUGCUAUGAAAAUUAUUACGAAGUUUAUAUUGUUCCCUUUUUAAGCCUGCCUUACUCUUGUCUUUUGUCAUUGUCUAUGGUUUAAUGAAGAACACACCAAACUAACAUUUUUGUUUAUUUUGAGGAACAAAAAAACUUUUCUCUUUUAAGGGAAGUUACUACACAUUGAGUUAGUAACUACUCUUUCAGUCAAGGUUCCUUAAUCAGUCCAGUCUACAUCAGGACUAUGACUUGGGGGGCGGGGCUAAUCCUUUUUGCUGUUCUGAGCUACUAUUGUCAACUGCUGUUGUACAUACUGUUAUGUGUAAUGGCGUAAAUAUAUUUAUUAUGUUUGUAAAAUUCAUUGCAGAUCAAGGUUGCUCUUCUGUGAUAUAUGGGAUAUUAUGUUUUAAAGACCAUCUUGGAAUACAAUUAGAGAACUUAGUAUUUUGAUGUACUAAGACCUAUUUUAAGUUUAAUAUUCUACUUUGCAAAAACUUUAAUUAAAGAUGUUAUUUAAAAAAAAAUGUUGCUUGCUUUGCUUACUAGUAUAUGGCAUUGUUAUAGAUAAUUGAAUAAAAUACAAUUUAGAAAGGAAAAUGCUUUACAUUGUUAAUGAGAAUUCCAUUUAACAACAACAAAAAGAUGCUAAAUUCUGUACCUUAAAGAUAAGUAGAUUGAGAUGUCAAUUUGAAUUAGUAAACUGUGUUACAAAUGAUUAAUACUAGCUUUUAAAAAGUUGUAUUUUCCAGGCACACAGGAAUUUAGGUUGGGCGAAUUCACACUAACAAAUUAUAACUAAAAAUUGGUAUAAUUAACAUUGUUUUUCAAAAUAAAGAUUACUCCUUGUGAAAUAUUAAUAAUUAACAUAUUGUAUUAAAUAAGUAUUUCUACUCCAAAGUAUAGAUUACUUAGGAUAAAAACAUUGUUAUUUCUCUGUUUAGUCAAACCACUUCCUCUUAGUUCAGAGGUUAUAAAUAAUUGCAUAUUAGGAGAAUUGGAUUACUGAGGUUUGUAUUGCGUAUUGAAUAUAUUUUGUGUUAUUUUAGAAGAUAAUAAUUAGCAGGUAUUUUAAUUUUAUAGUUAAUUCAGCUGAAUCAUUAAGAAGCUCGCCUUUUUGUAUUUUUUUAUCCUGUUAACAGACUAUCUAGAAAACAUGCAAAUUUUAACUAUUAACAUAAUCAUAAUAAAGAUAUCUUAUUUAUUGCCAGC